GACGAACGCUGGCGGCGCGCCUAACACAUGCAAGUCGAACGAGAGAUGAGGAGCUUGCUCUUCAAAUCGAGUGGCGAACGGGUGAGUAACGCGUGAGGAACCUGCCUCAAAGAGGGGGACAACAGUUGGAAACGACUGCUAAUACCGCAUAAGCCCACGGCUCGGCAUCGAGCAGAGGGAAAAGGAGCAAUCCGCUUUGAGAUGGCCUCGCGUCCGAUUAGCUAGUUGGUGAGGUAACGGCCCACCUAGUCAACGAUGGAUAGGGGUUCUGAGAGGAAGGUCCCCCACAUUGGAACUGAGACACGGUCCAAACUCCUACGGGAGGCAGCAGUGAGGAAUAUUGGUCAAUGGGCGAUGGCCUGAACCAGCCAAGUAGCGUGAAGGAUGACUGCCCUAUGGGUUGUAAACUUCUUUUAUAAAGGAAUAAAGUCGGGUAUGCAUACCCGUUUGCAUGUACUUUAUGAAUAAGGAUCGGCUAACUCCGUGCCAGCAGCCGCGGUAAUACGGAGGAUCCGAGCGUUAUCCGGAUUUAUUGGGUUUAAAGGGAGCGUAGAUGGAUGUUUAAGUCAGUUGUGAAAGUUUGCGGCUCAACCGUAAAAUUGCAGUUGAUACUGGAUGUCUUGAGUGCAGUUGAGGCAGGCGGAAUUCGUGGUGUAGCGGUGAAAUGCUUAGAUAUCACGAAGAACUCCGAUUGCGAAGGCAGCCUGCUAAGCUGCAACUGACAUUGAGGCUCGAAAGUGUGGGUAUCAAACAGGAUUAGAUACCCUGGUAGUCCACACGGUAAACGAUGAAUACUCGCUGUUUGCGAUAUACGGCAAGCGGCCAAGCGAAAGCGUUAAGUAUUCCACCUGGGGAGUACGCCGGCAACGGUGAAACUCAAAGGAAUUGACGGGGGCCCGCACAAGCGGAGGAACAUGUGGUUUAAUUCGAUGAUACGCGAGGAACCUUACCCGGGCUUAAAUUGCACUCGAAUGAUCCGGAAACGGUUCAGCUAGCAAUAGCGAGUGUGAAGGUGCUGCAUGGUUGUCGUCAGCUCGUGCCGUGAGGUGUCGGCUUAAGUGCCAUAACGAGCGCAACCCUUGUUGUCAGUUACUAACAGGUGAUGCUGAGGACUCUGACAAGACUGCCAUCGUAAGAUGUGAGGAAGGUGGGGAUGACGUCAAAUCAGCACGGCCCCUACGUCCGGGGCUACACACGUGUUACAAUGGGGGGUACAGAGGGCCGCUACCACGCGAGUGGAUGCCAAUCCCUAAAACCCCUCUCAGUUCGGACUGGAGUCUGCAACCCGACUCCACGAAGCUGGAUUCGCUAGUAAUCGCGCAUCAGCCACGGCGCGGUGAAUACGUUCCCGGGCCU
rnacentral:rRNA from 1 species